rnacentral:rRNA from 1 species
AAUCAAGCGCGAGAAGGGCGUUUGGUGGAUGCCUAGGCAGUAAGAGGCGAUGAAGGACGUGAUACUCUGCGAUAAGCUGUGGGGAGCCGAGAAUAGGCUUUGAUCCACAGAUCUCCGAAUGGGGCAACCCACCUGACAGUUUGUUAUUGUUAGCUUUGCUAUCAAUAACUUGCUGAGACAGGUAUUUAUGAUCUGAAUACAUAGGGUUAUAAAAGCAAACCCGGGGAACUGAAACAUCUAAGUACCCGGAGGAAAGGAAAUCAACAGAUACUCCCCUAGUAGCGGCGAGCGAACGGGGACCAGCCGAGCAAUGAGAGUGACUAGAACCGUCUGGAAAGGCGGGCCAUAGUGGGUGACAGCCCCGUAUAGGAAGCUCGAUUUGACGUAUUAAGUAGGGCGGGACACGUGAAAUCCUGUCUGAAGAUCGGAGGACCACCUUCGAAGGCUAAGUACUCCUUACUGACCGAUAGCGAACCAGUACCGUGAGGGAAAGGUGAAAAGCACCCCGACGAGGGGAGUGAAACAGUACCUGAAACCGGACGCCUACAAGCAGUCGGAGGGGCCUUGAGCCCUGACGGCGUACCUUUUGUAUAAUGGGUCAUCGACUUGGUCUCACAAGCAAGCUUAAGCCGUUAGGUGUAGGCGUAGCGAAAGCGAGUCUUAAUAGGGCGAAUGAGUUUGUGGGAUCAGACCCGAAACCGAGUGAUCUAGCCAUGGCCAGGAUGAAGGUUGGGUAACACCAACUGGAGGUCCGAACCCACACCUGUUGAAAAAGGUCGGGAUGAGCUGUGGCUAGGGGUGAAAGGCCAAUCAAACUCGGAGAUAGCUGGUUCUCUGCGAAAUCUAUUUAGGUAGAGCGUCGACCGAAUACCCUCGGGGGUAGAGCACUGGAUGGGUAAUGGGGUCCCACAGACUUACUGAUCCUAACCAAACUCCGAAUACCGAGGAGUACUAGUCGGCAGACACACGGCGGGUGCUAACGUCCGUCGUGAAGAGGGAAACAACCCUGACCUACAGCUAAGGCCCCCAAUUCAUGGCUAAGUGGGAAAGCAGGUGGGACGACCAAAACAACCAGGAGGUUGGCUUAGAAGCAGCCAUCCUUUAAAGAUAGCGUAACAGCUCACUGGUCUAAAUAAGUUGUCCUGCGGCGAAGAUGUAACGGGGCUCAAGCCAUGAGCCGAAGCUUAGGAUGCACAUAUGUGCGUGGUAGCAGAGCGUGGUGUGAUAUAGUUCCACGCCUCCUUACUCACUUCGGUGGGAUUGGAGGCAGGGAGCUUUCUGUGAAGCUGGCGCGUGAGCGAUCCGGUGGAGAGAUCACCAGUGAGAAUGAUGACAUGAGUAGCGACAAAGAGGGUGAGAGACCCUCUCGCCGAAAGUCCAAGGGUUCCUGCUUAAAGCUAAUCUGAGCAGGGUAAGCCGACCCCUAAGGCGAGGCCGAAAGGCGUAGUCGAUGGGAAUCAGGUUAAUAUUCCUGAGCCAGGAGGAUGUGACGGAUCUCGAAGAUUGUUUGCCCUUAUCGGAUUGGGUGAGCCGUUUAGAGGUUCCUGGAAAUAGCCCUCCAUGAGAUCGUACCCUAAACCGACACAGGUGGACUGGUAGAGAAUACCAAGGCGCUUGAGAGAACGAUGUUGAAGGAACUCGGCAAAAUACCUCCGUAAGUUCGCGAGAAGGAGGCCCCGUUCGUAGGCAACUACGGGCGGGGGGCACAAACCAGGGGGUGGCGACUGUUUACUUAAAACACAGGGCUCUGCGAAGUCGUAAGACGACGUAUAGGGUCUGACGCCUGCCCGGUGCCGGAAGGUUAAAAGGAGGAGUGCAAGCUCCGAAUUGAAGCCCCGGUAAACGGCGGCCGUAACUAUAACGGUCCUAAGGUAGCGAAAUUCCUUGUCGGGUAAGUUCCGACCUGCACGAAUGGCGUAACGACCUCCCCGCUGUCUCCAACAUCGACUCAGCGAAAUUGAAUUGUGUGUCAAGAUGCACACUUCCCGCGGUUAGACGGAAAGACCCCAUGCACCUUUACUAUAGCUUCGCACUGGCAUCAGGUACAGCAUGUGCAGGAUAGGUGGUAGGCUUUGAAGCAGGGACGCCAGUCUCUGUGGAGCCUCCCUUGAGAUACCACCCUUGCUCUGCUUGAUGUCUAACCGCGGCCCGUUAUCCGGGUCCGGGACCCUGCGUGGUGGGUAGUUUGACUGGGGCGGUCGCCUCCUAAACAGUAACGGAGGCGCGCGAAGGUUGGCUCAGAGCGGUCGGAAAUCGCUCGUUGAGUGCAAUGGCAGAAGCCAGCCUGACUGCAAGACUGACAAGUCGAGCAGAGACGAAAGUCGGCCAUAGUGAUCCGGUGGUCCCGAGUGGAAGGGCCAUCGCUCAACGGAUAAAAGGUACGCUGGGGAUAACAGGCUGAUGAUGCCCAAGAGUCCAUAUCGACGGCAUCGUUUGGCACCUCGAUGUCGGCUCAUCUCAUCCUGGGGCUGGAGCAGGUCCCAAGGGUAUGGCUGUUCGCCAUUUAAAGAGGUACGUGAGCUGGGUUUAGAACGUCGUGAGACAGUUCGGUCCCUAUCUUCCGUGGGUGUAGGAUACUUGAGAGGAGUUGCCCCUAGUACGAGAGGACCGGGGUGAACGAUCCACUGGUGGACCAGUUGUCGUGCCAACGGCAGUGCUGGGUAGCUAUGAUCGGACAGGAUAACCGCUGAAGGCAUCUAAGCGGGAAGCCCCCCUCAAAACAAGGUAUCCCUGAGGACCGUGGUAGACCACCACGUCGAUAGGCCGGAGAUGUAAGCGCAGUAAUGCGUUCAGUUGACCGGUACUAAUGGUCCGAUAGGCUUGAUUUG